GACGAACGCUGGCGGCGUGCUUAACACAUGCAAGUCGAACGGAAAGGCCUUUUUUGCGGUACUCUAGUGGCGAACGGGGGAGUAAAACGUGGGGGAGCUGCCCUCCGCUCUGGGAGAAGCCUGGGAAACUCGGUCUAAUACCGGGUAGGACCGCCCUUUUUUGUGUGUGGGGGAAAGUUUUUUCGGGGUAGGGUGCGCCCGCGGCCUAUCUGCUUGUUGGUGUGGGAAUGGCCCACCAAAGCGGGGACGGGUAGCCGGACUGAGAGGUUGGUAGGCCACAUUGGGACUGAGAUACGGCCCAGACGCCUACGGGAGGCAGCAGUGGGGAAGAUUGCACAAUGGGCGCAAGCCUGAUGCAGCGACGCCGCGUGGGGGAUGACGGCCUUCGGGUUGUAAACUCCUUUCGCCAGGGACGAAGCGUUUUGUGACGGUACCUGGAGAAGAAGCACCGGCUAACUACGUG
rnacentral:rRNA from 1 species